rnacentral:rRNA from 1 species
GACGAACGCUGGCGGCGUGCUUAACACAUGCAAGUCGAACGGUGAAAGCGGAGCUUGCUCCGCUGGAUCAGUGGCGAACGGGUGAGUAACACGUGGGCAACCUGCCCCUCACUUCGGGAUAACUCCGGGAAACCGGGGUUAAUACCGGAUAUGACCUCCUUGGGCAUCCUUGGAGGUGGAAAGUUUUUCGGUGAGGGAUGGGCCCGCGGCCUAUCAGCUUGUUGGUGAGGUAGUGGCUCACCAAGGCGACGACGGGUAGCCGGCCUGAGAGGGGGAGCGGCACACUGGGACUGAGGCACGGCCCAGACUCCUACGGGAGGCAGCAGUGGGGAAUAUUGCGCAAUGGGCGAAAGCCUGACGCAGCAACGCCGCGUGCGGGAUGACGGCCUUCGGGUUGUAAACCGCUUUCAGCAGGGAAGAAGCCGCAAGGUGACGGUACCUGCAGAAGAAGCACCGGCUAACUACGUGCCAGCCGCCGCCGUAA